rnacentral:rRNA from 1 species
UGGAAAGAUUUAUCGGUGCGAGAUGGGCCCGCGGCCUAUCAGCUUGUUGGUGAGGUAACGGCUCACCAAGGCGACGACGGGUAGCCGACCUGAGAGGGUGACCGGCCACACUGGGACUGAGACACGGCCCAGACUCCUACGGGAGGCAGCAGUGGGGAAUAUUGCACAAUGGGCGAAAGCCUGAUGCAGCGACGCCGCGUGCGGGAUGACGGCCUUCGGGUUGUAAACCGCUUUUGACAGGGACGAAGCGCGAGUGACUGUACCUGUAGAAUAAGGACCGGCCAACUACGUGCCAGCAGCCGCGGUAAUACGUAGGGUCCGAGCGUUGUCCGGAAUUACUGGGCGUAAAGAGCUUGUAGGCGGUUCGUCGCGUCG